CUACAUCAGAGUCACAACAGUACAUUACAUAUUCAACAAGAGUAAGAGCAGGGUCCGACUACGGACGAAAACAAACGACAAAAGAAGAACGACGUCCAUCCUUGCUAUCCCAGGCUGCCGGCCUGGAACCCAUCCUAGAUCGAUGAUGAAGAAGAAGAAGGAGCAACUCCAAAUGAACAAUCAACGCGCUCGCGUCAAGUAACCUUUAC
rnacentral:lncRNA from 1 species